rnacentral:rRNA from 1 species
AGGACAAACGCUGGCGGCGUACCUAAGACAUGCAAGUCGAACGGAGACUGCGUCUUCGGAUGCAGUCUGAGUGGCGAACGGGUGAGUAACGCGUAGGAACCCGCCUCGAUGUGGGGGAUAACACUUGGAAACAGGUGCUAAUACCGCAUGUGGUCGAGAGAAGAAAGGCUCGCAAGAGUCGCAUUGAGAGGGGCCUGCGUCCGAUUAGCUAGUUGGUGAGGUAAAGGCUUACCAAGGCGACGAUCGGUAGCUGGUCUGAGAGGAUGGUCAGCCACACUGGGACUGAGACACGGCCCAGACUCCUACGGGAGGCAGCAGUUAGGAAAUUUUGCCAA